rnacentral:rRNA from 2 species
AGUACGUGAAACUGCUUAGAGGUUAAACCCGAUGAACCUGAAUAUCCAUUAUAGAAAAUUCAAUACUAAUAAUACAAUAUAUAUCAUAUUGUAAAAAUAGUGUGCAAUUUUUCUAUAUAAGGACAUUGUAAUCUGUUAAUGUAAUAAAUAUUUAUCAAAAGAUUCUUUACUUAAGUUUAUUCAAAUUGUUUAUUUUCGGAUAUUCAACAUAAAAUAAAUGUAUUGAAUUAGAUAAAUCAUUGACAGAUAUAAUUAUAUAUGGUGCUUAAAUUUUAUGGAAUUUUGCAAUAAUAAUUAUUUCUAUUGAUCUAGUUAUUUAUUUGUUUGCGCUAUUAUGAUUAACAAUGCGAUAGAUUCAGGAUACCUUCGGGACCCGUCUUGAAACACGGACCAAGGAGUCUAACAUAUGUGCAAGUCAUUGGGUAUUUUUAAUAAAACCCAAUGGCAUAAUUAACUUAACUUAUUUAUAUAUGGGAUUAAUUUAUAAUUUAUUAUGAAUUAUUUAUUCAAUCCCGGGGCGUUCUAUAUAGUUAUGUAUAGUAGUAUUUAUAUUAUUUAUACCUCUAACUAGAGCGUACCUUGAGC